rnacentral:rRNA from 1 species
UACGAAGGGAGCUAGCGUUGUUCGGAUUUACUGGGCGUAAAGCGCACGUAGGCGGGUCGUUAAGUCAGGGGUGAAAUCCCGGAGCUCAACUCCGGAACUGCCUUUGAUACUGGCGACCUUGAGGCUGGAAGAGGUUAGUGGAAUUCCCAGUGUAGAGGUGAAAUUCGUAGAUAUUGGGAAGAACACCAGUGGCGAAGGCGGCUAACUGGUCCAGAUCUGACGCUGAGGUGCGAAAGCGUGGGGAGCAAACAGG